rnacentral:rRNA from 1 species
GACGAACCGUGCAAACGUUGUUCGGAUUCACUGGGCUUAAAGGGCGCGUAGGCGGUACGCCAAGUCUGGGGUGAAAUCUUUCGGCUCAACCGUAAAAUUGCCUGGGAUACUGGCGUGCUCGUGGGAGGUAGGGGCAGCGGGAACUGCCAGUGGAGCGGUGAAAUGCGUUGAUAUUGGCAGGAACGCCGGUGGCGAAAGCUUGCUGCUGGACCUCUUCUGACGCUGAUGCGCGAAAGCUAGGGGAGCAAACGGG